rnacentral:lncRNA from 1 species
UAUAUUGUUUGUUUUUGUUUCGUGUUUAACUCGUUUGUGAUGAAUUCGAUUUCUUGAUUCCAAUUUUUUCUAGCCCUAGUUCUUGAUAUCCGUUGCUCCGAUUUCGAUUUCUUCUACUCGUUCUUGAUAUCCUUUGCUCCGAUUGCUUGCUUCUUGAUGGCUCGAUUUCAGGGUUUUCUAUUAAAGAGAAUGCAUCCAGAUAGACAAAUCAAGUUUCUUCAAUGAGUCGUUCUUUUAUUUUUAUUUUUUUGCUUUGAUUGCAAGACAUACGAAUUGCGAACCUGUUUUUCUGCAGCAUGAUUUGUCGAAAUACUAACGUUCUUCACAGCUAAGAAUGGACGCUCGAAUUUUGUUUGGUUAUCUCUAGUAAAAAAAUAUUCGUUUCAAUCUUUCUUUUUAGAUUCUGAGAGCAUAUUUUCUUUAAGUAAAUUUUUUCGUUUAAAUAUUUCUGUUUUCAUUCUUGAUUUUGUUCAUCUUCGGUUAGGAGAGGUAAUCUGUGAACACACGGUUCCUUUUCGGUUCUAUCUUCCUCUUGUUUGAUCUUGAUGUUUGUAUUCUUAUUCUCUUAUCCUUUUAUCAUACAGGUUCUUGAUUUUGUUCUUGCUGGUUUCUUUCAUUGAGUUUGUUUUUCUUAUUUGCAUUAUCUGCUACUAUUUUUGAGUUCGUUGGGGGUCCUGAUGCGAGUUUUCUGUUUUUAGACGUUUUGCAAGACAUGGUCAUCAUUCAUCACCCCUGGUUGAAUUUACUGAAUUUAAUUUCUAUCAUUGAAUUGUGUUAUUUUCCUAUUAUGGCUUUGAAUGUUUUGAUCUCCAUACAGAUGAAUUAAAACACGAACCCGUUUUCUGCAGUGAAGGGUGUUUUGAAGUAAAAUAACGUUUUGUGUAGUAUCAAGCCUCAGGUUUACUUUUGUACACUCUUCUUGGAUUGUAAAUCAUUUUCAUUUCAUCUGUGAGUUUUUAUUGCUAGUGUUCUUGAUUUACUCCUUUAUGAUUUCCACUUGUGAAAUUUUCGGCUUGGUGUUGGUGGUUUUGGAGAGACUGAGACAGUUUGGUGAGCCUAUCUAAUUGGCGACUUGGUUUGGAGAAUUAUGCUAUUUGUCACCAACUAUUUGUCACAGCGUAAUCAUUCUGAUUAGCUGUUUGCUGGGACAACUUUGUUGGGAGAGGUUUCUGUUAUCGUCUUUUACUCAUUAGUUGUUUUUGUGGUUAUUUGUGAUUUACGAUGAUACUCCUAAAAAGAUAUCCUCUUUGUUACAGUGGCCCAAGGACUCAUCUGUAGUAAGAAGAAGCCAAAAUUGUGUCAUUUCAUAUGGAGUACAUGAUCUUGCAAGUUGGAUGGAAAUUUGUUCCAAUGAUUCAUAAGCUCUUGCAGGCUGUGUCGUAUACUUUUAGCUGUUGCUAGCUUUUAAUUCGGCCAUCUUUACUAAGAAUCUUCACAUUUCAUUAUUUGUUUGAUACUCAGCAUAUACUUUUGUCAGUUCCUUUGAGUUUUCUGUGUGGAAGUUACAGGGGAGAUAGCCUAUGACUGUGUAGUUUGCUGUGGAACUCGUGGCAGAAAGAGGUUCAGUUCUCAAACACCCUUAGGAUAAAAACGUUACAUAUCUAAUAUCUUACUGUUUUGGGAUGUUUGUCCUUUGAUGGAGUGCCCUGCUGGUUUUAGAUUUUUUGUGUUGCUGUUUCAGCAAGAUUCUAGAGCAUUGAAGCAUACAAGAUUCUAGACUGUACAUUUUCCCUCACCGAGGAUGUGGAAUUAAGGAUAAUUUGGUUUGUCAUUUUUUUGUUCUGUUGAUUUGCCACUUCCUUUGUCAUAUUUGUUUCUAUUUUCUUGUCAAUUGUGAUACUUAGGAGUAAGGUUAAGAAUAACAGUAUUAUCUCUAGGUGUACAUGAAUUCCUUCUGGUAUAGGGGCAAAGUCUAAUUUUGCAUUGGAGCACUGGAAUCUACAAUUGGUACAUAAACUCCUUCUGGUAUAGGGAUAAAGCCUAAUUUUGCAUAGGAGCUCUGGAAUCUACAAUUGGUUGUGUCCUAUAUUAUCACGAUUGUUGUUCUUUCAUUUGGUGAUCUCUACUUUGACUAUGUUAUUGUCUGGUUUCUUAGUCUUUUGAAGACUUGUUUUCUCGAUCUUUUGAGAGCUAUGUGUGGAUGUCACAGGGGGAUGUAGACAGUGAAAGCCAUGGCAUAGAUUAUCAAGGACGUGAUUUUGCUAUGGAGAGAGCCAAUGAAUGUACCAUGGGAUGUGGAAGCUGUUGUAGACAUUAUCAAGGACAUGCCUUUGGAUUUAAUGGGUCAUUUUUCUCCUUGAAUGUGUUUAUUCUGGAAUUCUAGAAUCGGAUAUCGUAUGAUAUUGUAAUGUGGCGAUGUUGAUUUUUGUGUUUUUUACUGUAGUUGUAAGAGAGGUUCUGAAGUGCAUGUACAUCUUUUUCAAGGAUAAUUUAAGACAUGCAUUUAUGUAUUUUGCAGUGAGUUGAAGUUUAGAUAUCUAGAACGUUGAGCCUUGUUGGACGGAUAAGAAAGGGAAAGCCCUAGAUAAAUCAAAUUUCUUCAGAGUCAUUAUAAUUGUUAUUUCUGGAUGUUGAUCGCAAAACAUACAAAUGAAUUGUGAACUUAUUUUUCUGCAGUGUGGUUUGUCAAUAUGAUAACCUUCUUCCAAGCAUCGAGCCUUGAGUUUUGAUUUGGUGAUCUCUAGUAUUAUCUUUUUGUUUCAGUAUUUCCUUAUCGAUUCUGAAAGCAUUUAUUUCUAAUUGUUAUUCCCCUUUUGAUUUUGCAGGGGUGGUAAUAUGUAAAACACACAAUUCCUUCUGGUCCUAUCUUACUGGUUGAUAUUUUCUAUUUUCCUUCUUUUCUCCUUGGUUAUUAAUGUCAAUUGUGAUACAUAAGAAUAAUCAAGGUAUGCUCUUAAAAAGGAAGACAAUUGUGAUUCUCAAUAGAAUGAAUAAGACGGAGAACUGCUCUAGAUAUAAUAAUCAAAUUUCUUCAGUUAGUCGUUCUUCAUUUUUUAAUUUCUGGCUUUGAUCAGAAGAAAAAAGAAUAUAGUUGUGAGAAUAUUUUUCUGCAGCGCGAUUUGUCAAACUAAUAAUGUUCUACAUGGAGUGUGCUUUGAUGUUUGAUUUGGUGAUCUCUAGUAAAUUCUUUUUGUUUUCAAUAAUUCUCUAUCAAUCAAUUCUAAAAGCGUAUUUUAGUUGAUUUGUUGUUUCCUUUUUUGUGUUGCAGGAUAGUUAAAUCUAUGAACAUGUUAUUCCUUUUGUUUCUAUCUUGCUUUUGUAUGAUCUUUCAUGUAUUGUAUUUUGAUUAUUUUCUGUUUUCUUGAUUCUGAGUUUUGAUUUGGCUCUGGAUUUCAUCGCCGUACACGUGGAAUUGAAAUAUGAACUUUGUUUUUGUAGUAUAGUUUGUUUCGAUACAUUAACAUUCUGUGUAGAGUACCAAGUCUCAGUUUUAAUUUGGUACCCAAUACUAUAUUAUUAUAAAUUAUGUCCAUUUCAUUUCUUCUCGGUCAAUUCCUAUCAACCAGACCAGUUUUUUCGAUUUACUCUUAAAUGAUUUCCACUGUUUCCGUCAGAUGAGUCUAUUGGUGUGUGUGGUAAGAGUUGGUUGGGAUAAUUGAAAAGUUGAGCCUUAGGGGUUUUCUUAGUUCUUAUCAUUAAUACUUCUUUUUUCUUACAAAAGUUUACAUGAUUCUGGAAAAUUUGGGAGAAAAACCAAGAAAAAAGAUAGAAGAGUAGCGUAAUUCUGCAAACCAUGUUGCAUAUCAUCAGAACAAAGAGAUAGCCUAUGAUUUUGUGGUUUGCUAUGGAAACUGUGGCAUGAAGAAGUUCAGUUCUUUACAUAUCUAUUAUCUUAUUGUUUUGGGAUAUUUGUCCUUUUGAUGGGGUGCCCUGCUGGUAUUGGAUUUUUUGUGUUUCUGUUUCAGCAAGAUUAUGUAGUAUUUGAAGCAUACAAGAUUCUAGAACCUUUGCCCUCCCUGAGGAUGUGGAAUUCAGGAUAACUUGGUUUGGCACUCUUUUGUACUGUCGAUUUGCCAUUCCUUUUGUUAUCUUUUUUUAGUAUAUUAUUGUCAAUUUUGAUAUAUAAAAAUAAAAAUAAGAGUAAGGACAAAAAUAAUAAUAUCAUCCCUCAAGUUGUACAAGAUCUUUGGUGUAGGGGUGCUGUCAAAUUUUGUAUAGGAGGACUAGAAUCUACAAUUGACUGUGUCAUAUUGUCAAAGUCGUUGUUCUUUGAUUUGGUUGUCUCUACUUUUGACUAAAUUGUUCAUGUUUUUGUCUUUUGAUCAUCUUGUGUGGGUAUCACAAGGAGGAUGUAGAGUGAAAGCCAUGACAGAGAUUAUCAAAAAGAGAGCCUAUGAAUGUAUCAUUGGAUGUGAAAGCUGUUGCGGACAUUUUAAGGACAUGCUUUUAUUAAUUCUGGAAUGGGUAUCAAAAAGAGACGUUGGAUUUAGUGGGUGAUUUUUCUCCUUCAAUUUAUUAAUUCUGGAAUGGGUAUCCUGAUAUUGUAAUUUGACAAUAUUGAUUAAUGUGUUUUUUAUUAAAAGUUUAAGGAGGGCUUCAAUAUAUAUGAUUUUGAAAUACACGUACAUUUCUUUCAAAAGAUAAUUUGAGACAUGCGUUCAUCUGUUUACAGAAAGAAUUGAAGCUUAGUUCAGCUAUAGCCUUUUUUGAUACUUAAUGCAUGGAUUAAUUACAGAUUUUGAUCGUAAGGCAUACUAAUGAAUCUUUAACUUAAUUUUCUGCAGCUUGGUGUAUGAAAAUGACAACGUUCUUCAUAGCAUCGAGCCUUCAGUUUUGAUUUUGUGAUCCUUAUUACAUUCUUUUCGUUUCAGUAUUUCCGUAUUGAUUCGGAGAUAAUUUUUUUCUAAUUGUUAUUUCCCUGUUUGGUGUUGCUGGAUAAGUAAAAUGUGAAACGCACAAUUGCUUCUGGUUCUAUCUUACUGUUUGAUCCUUAUUAUUCUCACUCUCUUCUCCUUGAUUAUUUUGGUUUCCUGAAUGAGGUUUUAUUUAUGUUCUUGUUGGUUUUGAGCUUGAAGUUUGCUUUUAUUACUAUGGUUAUUGUAUUUGCUGUUAUUAUUGAGGUUUUAGGGCUUUGAUUGUUUGCUCUUCCAAUUCUUCUUUUAUUUCAAUUUUUUGAAUUUGAAUUUUUUUCUUCGUUUGAUUGUUUAUAUAGUUUUUGGAUAUAAUUAUGCAUUCGAAAAUCGAGACGUUUUUCAGCUAGCUGAUUCCUCGAUAUCUACAAUGUUUUGUGAUUCUCAAUACUACAGUUAAGACGGCUCCAGAUAGAAAAUCAAGCUUCUAAAAUUAGUCGUUCUUCAUUUAUUUUUAAUUUUGCUUUGAUUAGUAGAAAUAAGAAUAUGAUUGUGCGCAUGUUUUUUGCAUCCUGGUUUGUCAAUUUAAUAACGUUCUUUAUGGAGUGGAGCCUUCAUUUUUUAUUUGGUAAUCUCUAGUAUAUGCUUUUUGUUUUCAAUAAUUCUUUAUCUAUGCUGAAAGUGUAUUUUUUUAUUUGUUAUUUUCUCUUUGGUGUUGCAAGCUAGGUAAUCUAUGAACAUGUGAUUCCUUUUGGUUCUAUCUUCCUCUCUUUAGAUCUUUCAUGUUCUGUAUUUUGAUUAUUUUCUGGUUUCUUUACUCUAUUAUGAUUAUCACUGUUUCAGGUAAGAUAAGUCUAUUGGUUUGUGGUAAGAGUUGAUAGUUAUAAUUGAAAAGUUGAGCUUUAAAGGUUGUCUUACCAUUAAUACUACUUCCAUACAAAUUUCUACAUUUGGGUUUUUGAUUGUAUUAUGACAAUGCAAAAGCUUACACAGUUAUGAAAAAAUUGGAAUGACUUGGUGAGCCUGUCUUCUUUUUUCUUGGUUUUUUGUGCAUCUAUUUGUCACAACAUAUUUCCUCCGUACAUGUAUCAUUUUGGUGUUACAUGGGUUUGAUGUGAAGUAUUUUCCUUCUUUGUCACUCACCACCUUUCUAGUUCGCCCUUUGAUGUAGAAAAAUUGGAGAUGUGUUACUUUCUGCUUUGUACAAUAAUGUCAUGAUGGUCGUUCAUAUAUUUCCUAGCCUUUAAUUGCGGCAACCACACUUCUCGAUUCCUUUGCAAAAGAUUAGCCGGUAAGAUUAUCAACCUCUUUCUUCUAUGAGUUAUUCGUUUAUUAUUUUUAUUUCUGUGCAUUGAUCGCAAGACAUACAAAUUGAAUUAUGAACCUGUUUUUCUGCAGUGUGGCGAAGCAUAUUUUUCUUCUAGUAAAUUCUAUUCAUUUAAAUAUUUCUUUAUUGAUUUUGUCAGCAUAUUUUUCUUGAUUUUGGUUUCAUCUUUGUUGUUGCAAGUUCAAUUCCUUCUGGUUCUAUCUUUCACUGGUUUGAUCUUCUUAUUUUGUUUUCUUAUUCUUUUCUGGUUGAUUAUUUUUGUUUCUUGAUUUGGUUCUUGCUGGUUUUGAUCUGCCAUUAUUAUUACAACUGAUUUUUCUUUUAUUAUUUUAAUGAUCUGCAGCUAUUAUUUAGAUUUUAAAUUACUGUUCUUCCAAUUCUUCUUACAUUAAUACUACUUUUUCCUACAAAUGUUUGUUCUACAUUUGGGUUUUUGAUCUGUAUUCUUACAGUGCAAAAGUUUACAUGAUUCUGGAAAAAUUGGGAGAACAUGGUGGGCCUCUCUUUAUUCUGAUGAUAUGAGACAUGGUUUGCCGAAUUAUGCUACUCUUCUAUCUUUUUUCUUGGUUUUUGUGCAUUUAUUUGUCACUGCAAAAUUUUCUGUACCUGUAGCAUCUGGUGUUUCAUGACUUGAUGUGAAUGCACCUUUUAGUUCGCUCUCAGAAGUAGAGAAAUUUGAGAUGAGUGCCCUUCUGCUUUUCUGCUUUGUACAACUAAUCUUCUGUGAAUGAAUUAACAGGGACACAUGAACCAUAAUGUCAUGCUGGCUGUUUAUAUAUUUCAUAGGCAUUAAUUUCAGCAUCCACACUUCUCGAUUCCUUUGUGAAAGCUUAGGGGGUGAGAUUAUCAACCCCAUUCAAAUUUUGGAGAUAAUUGACAAUUUUCUAGUCAUAUAUUUCUUACUAAUGUUUGUUCUGGGUUGUUGUCCUCUGACUGGGUACAAUCCAAUGUUGAAAUUUUGGUGUCUGUGUGCAUAGUUUUUCUCCAGUUUAGCUUACAAGAUUCUGGAUUAACACUACCUUUCUCUUUGCGAGCAAUUUUGGAUAACUUGGUUAGGUAUCUUUUGGGGCCAACUUGGCUGGGAAGAGUUAAUAUUCUUUUACUGUUUUGUUGAUAUUUGUGAUUUGUGCUUGGUAUACUCCUAAAUAGAUAUCAGCUUCGUUACAGUGGCCGAAGGACUUGCCUGUAGUAAGAAGAAGCAAAAAUUGUGUAAUUUCAUACAAGAAGCAAAUUGGAUGGAAAUUUGUCCCUAUGUUUCAUUGUCUUUUGCAGGCUGUUUCGUAUACUUUCUACUGCUGCUAGACUUCAUAUUUGGUAUUAAGAAUUUUCACAUUUCAUUCUUUGUUUGAUACUGUACAUAUACUAUUGUCGAUUCCUUUGAGGUUUAUGUGUGGAAGUUACAGUUGAGAUAGUCUAUGUUUGUGUUGUUUGCUAUGGUACCUGUGGCACGAAGAAGUUCAGUUCACAUACCCUUCAGAUAAAAACGGUCAUUUUUUUCUCUACAUAUCUAAUAUAAUUGUUUUGGGAUAGUUGUCCUUUGUUGGAGUGUUCUGCUGGUGUUGGAUUUUUUAUGUUACUGUUUCAGCAAGAUUCUAGAAUUUUGAAGCAUACAAGAUACUAGAGUAUAACUUUUCCCUCCUCGAGGAUGUGGAAUUCAGGAUAACUUGGUUUGGCACUUUUUUGUUCUUUCGACUUGUCAUUCCUUUUGUUAUAUUUUUUUUCUAUAUUCUUGUUAAUUGUAAGGACAAAAAUAAUAAUAUCAUCUCUCAAGUUCUACAAGAUCUGGUGUAGGGGUGAAGUCAAAUUUUGUAUUGGAGGACCAGAAUCUACAAUUGGCUGUGUCAUAUUGUCAAAGUUGUCGUUCUUUCGUUUGGUUGUCUCUACUUUUGACAGAAUUGUUCACCUUUCUUUGUUUUUUGAUCAUGUUGUGUGGGUAUAACUAGGAGGUAGAGUGAAAGCCAUUGUAGAGAUUAUCAAAAAGAGAGCCUAUGAAUGUUCCAUAGGAUGUGAAAGUUGUUGGUGACAUUUUAGUGACAUGCUUUAUGCCUUUGGAUUUAAGGAUUUAGUGGGUGAGUUUUCUCUAUGAAUUUAUUAAUUCUGAAAUGCAUAUCUUGAUAUUGUAAUGUGCAAUAUUGAUUAUUGUGUUUUUUAUUACAAGUUUACAGUGGUUUCAGUAUUUAUGAUUAUGAAGUGCAUGUACAUUUCUUUCAAAGAUAAUUUGAGACAUGUGUUCAUCUGUUUAAUAGGAAGAGUUGAUGUUUGGACAUUUAGAGCCUUUUUUGAUACUAUGCAUGGAUUAGAAAAAGGAAAACUGCCAGAUAAAUCAAACAACUUCAUUGGGACAUUAUUUUUAUUUACAGAUUUUGAUCUUAAGGAUAUGGAUUGCGACAUCUGUGGCGUUAGUAUCAAGUUCAAUCAGAUAUAACUUUGAAUGUAAUGUGGGAUGUGAAGGCACUGACAUACAUUAUCAAGGAUGUGAAGCCUUUAGGAUAAAACUUGUCAUUGUAUUGAAAUGUAAAUUUUGUUUAAAUAAAUAGUUGUGUUUAUAUGAUGUGGUGUUGGUAAUAUUUUUGUUUUUAUCAAGAUAAGAAAUGCUUUAGUAUUUAUGAUUCUGCCAAACAUUGGGUAGGAUAUCGACUUUAGAGUAUAUUUCUUAGCUUUGGGAACAUCUGUGCUUUACUUUCUUAUACUGCUGCCAAGAAUAUGAAUGUUUCCAACAUUGAAAUCCUUUUUUUUGUUCAACACGCUUUUUAUUAGAUGUUUAAAUUUUGUUUCGUUAUAAUUUAUAUUUAUUUAAUUUUGAUUAAAAGAAUUUUGAACCUAAUUUUUUACUGUUUUGUAAUGUUUAACAAAGUUCUUCAAGGCAUGACUUAAAUGUAAAAAUUUGACUAUUUUGUAUUCGUUGUAGUAUUCUAAGGUUUGAACUCAUUCACUUAGAAAAGAAACUUAGAGCAUGACUAAGGAAGCAACAAAUUGAUGUUAGGUUCCAUUUAUUUAUAUGUACUUAUUUUUUAUGAUGAAACAUAAAAAGCAUAUGAUGUGUAUAUAAUUAAAUUUUUUAAAGAGUUAAUUAAGUUACUUUUAUGAGGUUUUAAUUGCUAUGUCUGUUUUUAGAAGUCUCUUUAAUUAUGAGUGACAACUUUAACCAAAUUAUGUUUGUAGGUUGUUGAUCAAUAAUUAAUAUAUAUUUAGAGAAAUUGGAGAUGAGUUCUGCUUUGUACAAUAAUGUUAUGAUGACCGCUCAUAUAUUUCUUAGGCGUUAAUUGCGGGAACCACAAUUUUCGAUUCUUUUGCAAAAGAUUAGCUAGUAAGAUUAUCAACCUCUUUCUUCAAUGAGUUAUUCAUUUAUUAUUUUUAUUUAUGUCCUUUGAUUGCAGGACAUACAAAUUAAAUUAUGAACCUGUUUUUCUGCAGUAUGCGAAGCAUAUUUUUCUUCUAAUAAAUUCUAUUCAUUUAAAUAUUUAUUUAUUUAUUUACUUUGUCAGCAUAUUUUUCUUGAUCUUCUGGUUAUAUCUUUCGCUGGUUUGAUCUUCUUGUUUUGUAUUUUUCUCGUUGUUGAUUUUGGUUUCUUGAUUUUGGGGCUUGAUUUGGUUCUUGCUGGUUUGGAUCUGCGGCUAUUAUUUAGAUUUUAACGGUUUUUUCUUUUAUUAUUUUAAUGAUCUGCAACUAUUAUUUAUAU